rnacentral:rRNA from 1 species
AGAGUUUGAUCCUGGCUCAGGAUGAACGCUAGCGGGAGGCCUAAUACAUGCAAGUCGAGCGGUAGAGUCCUUCGGGACUUGAGAGCGGCGCACGGGUGAGUAACGCGUACAUGACCUGCCUUUAAGACCGGGAUAGCCCUGGGAAACUGGGAUUAAUACCGGAUGUGAUAAUAUGUAUAGAGAUAUAUUAUUAAAGUUGAGGCGCUUAGAGAUGGGUGUGCGUUUGAUUAGCUAGUUGGUAGGGUAACGGCCUACCAAGGCGACGAUCAAUAGGGGGCGUGAGAGCGUGACCCCCCACACGGGUACUGAGACACGGACCCGACUCCUACGGGAGGCAGCAGUAAGGAAUAUUGGUCAAUGGACGGAAGUCUGAACCAGCCAUCCCGCGUGCAGGAUGAAGGUCCUAUGGAUUGUAAACUGCUUUUAGCAGAGACGAAACGCCGACAUUUAUGUUGGUCUGACGGUAUCUGCGGAAUAAGCACCGGCUAACUCCGUGCCAGCAGCCGCGGUAAUACGGAGGGUGCAAG